CUGCCCCUGUCAGGGGGACAACCCGCCGAAAGGCGGGCUAAACCCGCGUACAUGCCACCGGGGCAUCCCGGAGGCAGGAAAGGCUUCGGCCGGACAGGGAUGGGCAUGCGGCGCAUUAGGCAGUAGGCGGGGUAACGGCCCACCUAACCGACGAUGCGUAGGGGUUCUGAGAGGAAGGUCCCCCACACUGGUACUGAGACACGGACCAGACUCCUACGGGAGGCAGCAGUGAGGAAUAUUGGUCAAUGGUCGGGAGACUGAACCAGCCAAGCCGCGUGAGGGAGGAAGGUACAGAGUAUCGUAAACCUCUUUUGUCAGGGAACAAAGACUGGGACGCGUCCCCGGAUGAGUGUACCUGAAGAAAAAGCAUCGGCUAACUCCGUGCCAGCAGCCGCGGUAAUACGGAGGAUGCGAGCGUUAUCCGGAUUUAUUGGGUUUAAAGGGUGCGCAGGCGGUCUGUUAAGUCAGCGGUCAAAGCCCGGGGCUCAACCCCGGCCCGCCGUUGAAACUGGCAGUCUCGAGUUGGAGAGAAGUAUGCGGAAUGCGCGGUGUAGCGGUGAAAUGCAUAGAUAUCGCGCAGAACUCCGAUUGCGAAGGCAGCAUGCCGGCUCCACACUGACGCUGAGGCACGAAAGCGUGGGUAUCGAACAGGAUUAGAUACCCUGGUAGUCCACGCAGUAAACGAUGA
rnacentral:rRNA from 1 species